UCGUACUAGGCGGGGAGUUAGCGGUGCCCUGAACCCGUAAUCCGCUCCAACGGGGCUUAAUUCCAAUCGGAGGACUUUGGUAAGUAUCCACUACUUGUAAUUAAAAUGUUGAAAGUUGGGUCCUGCGCGGCAAGAGCUUGUGAAUCCCGUCAGGUUCGGAAGAAAGCAGCGGUAANCGAUGANUNUUGGGUGCCGUAGGGAAGCCUGACUUGAGUUCUAAUUAUAGGAUAUGUUGUUUGCUAUCGUUCGAUGUGAGGUGUACGG
rnacentral:SRP_RNA from 1 species